rnacentral:rRNA from 1 species
AGUCUGAUGGAGCACGCCGCGUGAGUGAAGAAGGCUUUCGGGUCGUAAAACUCUGUUGUUGGAGAAGAAUGGUCGGCAGAGUAACUGUUGUCGGCGUGACGGUAUCCAACCAGAAAGCCACGGCUAACUACGUGCCAGCAGCCGCGGUAAUACGUAGGUGGCAAGCGUUAUCCGGAUUUAUUGGGCGUAAAGCGAGCGCAGGCGGUUUUUUAAGUCUGAUGUGAAAGCCCUCGGCUUAACCGAGGAAGUGCAUCGGAAACUGGGAAACUUGAGUGCAGAAGAGGACAGUGGAACUCCAUGUGUAGCGGUGAAAUGCGUAGAUAUAUGGAAGAACACCAGUGGCGAAGGCGGCUGUCUGGUCUGUAACUGACGCUGAGGCUCGAAAGCAUGGGUAGCGAACAGGAUUAGAUACC